rnacentral:rRNA from 1 species
AUUGAACGCCGGCGGCAUGCCUUACACAUGCAAGUCGAACGGUAACAGGUCUUCGGAUGCUGACGAGUGGCGAACGGGUGAGUAAUACAUCGGAACGUGCCUAGUAGUGGGGGAUAACUACUCGAAAGAGUGGCUAAUACCGCAUGAGAUCUACGGAUGAAAGCAGGGGAUCGCAAGACCUUGUGCUACUAGAGCGGCCGAUGGCAGAUUAGGUAGUUGGUGGGAUAAAAGCCUACCAAGCCGACGAUCUGUAGCUGGUCUGAGAGGACGAUCAGCCACACUGGGACUGAGACAGGGCCCAGACUCCUACGGGAGGCAGCAGUGGGGAAUUUUGGACAAUGGGCGCAAGCCUGAUCCAGCAAUGCCGCGUGCAGGAUGAAGGCCUUCGGGUUGUAAACUGCUUUUGUACGGAACGAAAAGCCCUGGGUUAAUACCCUGGGGUCAUGACGGUACCGUAAGAAUAAGCACCGGCUAACUACGUGCCAGCCGCCGCCGUAACAC